rnacentral:rRNA from 1 species
CGUGUAGGCGGCGAUUUAAGUCUGGAGUGAAAGUCCUGCUUUUAAGGUGGGAAUUGCUUUGGAUACUGGAUGGCUAGAGUGCAGGAGAGGUUAGUGGAAUUCCCAGUGUAGCGGUGAAAUGCGUAGAGAUUGGGAGGAACACCAGUGGCGAAGGCGACUAACUGGACUGUAACUGACGCUGAGGCGCGAAAGUGUGGGGGAGCAAAC